CUACGGGGUGCUGCAGUGAGGAAUUUUGCGCAAUGGGGGAAACCCUGACGCAGCAACGCCGCGUGAGUGAUGAAGGCUUUCGAGUCGUAAAGCUCUGUCAAGUGGGAAGAACCUACUAAGUGCCAAUACCACUUAGUACUGACGGUACCACUGAAGGAAGCACCGGCUAACUCCGUGCCAGCAGCCGCGGUAAUACGGGGGGUGCAAGCGUUACUCGGAAUUAUCGGGCGUAAAGGGCGCGCAGGCGGCCAGGUAAGUCAGAUGUGAAAGCCCGGGGCUCAACCCCGGAAGUGCAUUUGAAACUACUUGGCUUGAGUAUGGGAGAGGGAAGUGGAAUUCCUGGUGUAGAGGUGAAAUUCGUAGAUAUCAGGAGGAACACCGGUGGCGAAGGCGACUUCCUGGACCAAUACUGACGCUGAGGCGCGAAGGCGUGGGUAGCAAACAGGAUUAGAUACCCUUGUAGUC
rnacentral:rRNA from 1 species